rnacentral:rRNA from 1 species
CAGUCGCCGCGGUAAUACGUAGGGUGCAAGCGUUAAUCGGAAUUACUGGGCGUAAAGCGUGCGCAGGCGGUUUUGUAAGACAGAGGUGAAAUCCCCGGGCUCAACCUGGGAACUGCCUUUGUGACUGCAAGGCUAGAGUACGGCAGAGGGGGAUGGAAUUCCGCGUGUAGCAGUGAAAUGCGUAGAUAUGCGGAGGAACACCGAUGGCGAAGGCAAUCCCCUGGGCCUGUACUGACGCUCAUGCACGAAAGCGUGGGGAGCAAACAGGAUUAGAUACCCGGGUAGUCCCUGUCUCUUAUAC